CGUAGGGUGCAAGCGUUGUCCGGAAUUAUUGGGCGUAAAGAGCUCGUAGGCGGUUCGUCGCGUCGGCUGUGAAAACCUGAGGCUCAACCUCAGGCCUGCAGUCGAUACGGGCGGACUUGAGUACUGCAGGGGAGACUGGAAUUCCUGGUGUAGCGGUGAAAUGCGCAGAUAUCAGGAGGAACACCGGUGGCGAAGGCGGGUCUCUGGGCAGUAACUGACGCUGAGGAGCGAAAGCGUGGGGAGCGAACAGGAUU
rnacentral:rRNA from 1 species